UAAGCCUGUGAAGGUGGCCUGUGAGGGUUGCUGGAGGUAUCAGAAGUGCGAAUGCUGACAUAAGUAACGAUAAAGCGGGUGAAAAGCCCGCUCGCCGGAAGACCAAGGGUUCCUGUCCAACGUUAAUCGGGGCAGGGUGAGUCGACCCCUAAGGCGAGGCCGAAAGGCGUAGUCGAUGGGAAACGGGUUAAUAUUCCCGUACUUGGUGUUACUGCGAAGGGGGGACGGAGAAGGCUAUGUUGGCCGGGCGACGGUUGUCCCGGUUUAAGCGUGUAGGUGUGUGUUCCAGGUAAAUCCGGUUCACUUUAACACUGAGGCGUGACGACGAGGCACUACGGUGCUGAAGCAACAAAUGCCCUGCUUCCAGGAAAAGCCUCUAAGCAUCAGGUAACAUCAAAUCGUACCCCAAACCGACACAGGUGGUCAGGUAGAGAAUACCAAGGCGCUUGAGAGAACUCGGGUGAAGGAACUAGGCAAAAUGGUGCCGUAACUUCGGGAGAAGGCACGCUGACACGUAGGUGAAGUGAUUUACUCAUGGAGCUGAAGUCAGUCGAAGAUACCAGCUGGCUGCAACUGUUUAUUAAAAACACAGCACUGUGCAAACACGAAAGUGGACGUAUACGGUGUGACGCCUGCCCGGUGCCGGAAGGUUAAUUGAUGGGGUCAGCGCAAGCGAAGCUCCUGAUCGAAGCCCCGGUAAACGGCGGCCGUAACUAUAACGGUCCUAAGGUAGCGAAAUUCCUUGUCGGGUAAGUUCCGACCUGCACGAAUGGCGUAAUGAUGGCCAGGCUGUCUCCACCCGAGACUCAGUGAAAUUGAACUCGCUGUGAAGAUGCAGUGUACCCGCGGCAAGACGGAAAGACCCCGUGAACCUUUACUAUAGCUUGACACUGAACAUUGAGCCUUGAUGUGUAG
rnacentral:rRNA from 7 species